UUCUUUCAGGUGUUGCUCUUGGUUUCCCUGCCCAAAGAAACCAAAACCAACACACUUUCAUUCACUUUCCUUUCUGUUCACUAUGGAUAAAUAAAUCAUAUUUGUUGUUUUAGGCUGCCCACUUCAGCAACCCAGCGAAUAUUCCAAUUUUGGAAACUUGCAAAAAUUCAAACGUUUCUGUCACUGUUACUCUCUUCCCAGGGUUCGAUAAAAAGUAGGAUUUGGUGUAAAAUGUUGAUCUUAAGCAUAAUUUUAAAAAGACAAAGGCGAUCUACGUUAGAUUAGAGGAAAUGGGAGAUUUAUCCGCUGCUUUUGCAUGUGGGUUUUCUCAGAAGACUAAGGAAAGUUUGGUGCAUAAAAGAUGGAAACCUGAUUUUAUCAGUCCUCAAGAAAAUGAAUUUGCUAUUGCUGUUGGGUUUUCUCAAGGAAACUCUCCAGAUUUCGUGAUAUCCGACCAUGGUGUUUCCCCGAUGAUAUCAGCUGAUUUGCAACAGAAUAGAGAGAAUAAGAACCCGAAUUCUUCGUAUUUUGAUUUGGUUAGUGCCGAUGAAAUUGACAUGAUGAAGUGUAGUUUAAGUUUUGGUUCCAUAACUAAGAAGAGUAGGGUCAUAAAGCGGCGAGGGCAGAGCAGGAAGGCAAUAAUUGUGUGUUUGGCGGUGCUUGGACUUAGAGUUCUAAACAUAGCCCUCCAUUUAGCAGUGAAGAUAGAAAAGAGCAUGGUAAGAUAGAGUUCAUGGGAAUCAGAUCAAAUGCUUGUGCAGAUUAUUACCCUGUUAAUGGUUUUCAGGACAUAUCAGAUCAUGAAACACCGUCUACCAGCAAAUAUGCUUCUGAAUAUGAUGUGGAUGAACCUUGUUAUGAUAGUUGGCAACAUGUAAAUGCUGACGAUUGUUGGAAGGUUGGUUGUCAUGAAUGAAAUAAUGUGUUUCUUAAAUCUGCUGAGGUCUGAGACCAGACGAGAUCCACGUGUAAUGUGUAACUAGUGUCAGAAGAUGGUUGGAGGACCUGGGAUUUGGCAGGUAUGCUGGUAUUUUUGAAAUGCAUGAGGUUGAUGAGGAAAAUCUACCUCUGCUUACUCUAGAUGAUCUCAAGGAGAUGGGUGUAUCUGCUGUUUGGCAUCAACAGAAAUUGUACACUGCAAUGCAGCAAUUAAGAGGAGGCGGUGAUUCUUCUUGAAAAUUCUUCCGAUCAAUGUCAGCAAUAUGUAAGGCACUUAAUUACUGCAGCUCCAGCUACUUCUAAGUUCUAAAGGACUUCCAGCAGUAAGCCUUGGAUUGCUUCAAAUGUCACUUUUAAAAGAGUUGUGUUACAGACGGCCCAUUCUGACAAAACAUGUUACUCGAUGAUUUUGCUGGAUAUGAAUGGUUCAUGAACAUUCCAUCUUAGGUGGAGUUUCUGUUGAUUUGUAAUGGAAUGAGAUGACCUUAUGCCUUUCACAGGUUGCACUGAGUUUUCAUUUUCUUUUGGUAAUGACUCCCAGUCUUCUGAGGUAGAUGGAGGAGAUCAUUUAUCUGUUUCAGUUUUACAAGUUUGGUGAGAUAAAAUGAUUUGGUUAAAAUCAGCAUUAAGAUUGAAUAUUUUAACGACGAGAUUAAAAUUAAUAAUAAAAAUAUA